UCCUGGUGUCACCAAAUGUUAACCACAUUUUCUCUCUUUUUACAUUUUAGGCUGUUAAAGUAAUUGGACAGGACAAAAGCAGAGGGGGGUGGAUCUUAACAAUGGGACAAGACAGCACUUUUACAGCCACAAUUUGAAAUUUAGGGCAGACUUGAAUCCAAAUGUACUUUUAUUUGAUUUAUUUCUCUAUAAAUGUAGUACGUGGUUAAGAGAAAAAAUGAAAUGUAGAGUUACUGGAAUGUAGGUAAAUAUGCAUAUUUGCUGCCAGGCAUUAAAACAGCAAUUUUUUUCCUUUGAACUCGAGGGCAGAUAGCUUCUUGGUACUGUCUUUUCUAAAAAGAAGAUGCCUUCUAUCUCUCAGUAUCAACCUGAAAAAUUGUACAAUGCCUGAUAAUUGGAUAUGCAGGUAUCUAGUCCAGAAAACAUGGGAGAGAUUGAUAAUGUUUUUCUAAAGAAAAGUACCUUCAUUUUCUGCUCCCAGCAAAGGCAUGCUAUCAUAUUCUGUCCAUCUCAGUAAUAAAGAGUAAGGGUCUGCCUGGGAAGAGUCUUCCCUGGGCUAGGAUCCAUUGCUGAAGCCUUUUUUAUGCUUGUGCCUGGCACCCAAAGCAAUCCCUAAUGGGAGCCCAAUGGAUGAGUCUUUGUGCAGGUCUUUGGGACAAAUGCACAUAAAUGAUAAGUAAGGCCAUUUUAGUGAAGCUUUUAAAAAAAAAAAAAAAAAAAGCUUUUGUUUGGAAAGUUUUCUACCCAGUUUUUCUAGAUGCUAAAUAAAAUAGAGCAUACCAUCAAAAUAGAAGCUCCUCAUGUACAAUUUUGAAGGGAACAUUGUCACUUUUUUAGAUAAGUUUUUUAAAGUGAUUUUUUUUAAAGUAUUGGAUUAUAGGUGUUUUUCAUUUCAAAAACCUAUUCUUGAUGUAUUUUCUCUUGUGCUGUGCAGUAUUAAUGUUGCCUGGCACCAGGUGUGUCACUGCACAAAUGCUCAUUCCCUCUCUCACAGCUCCACUCGGUUUUUAGCUCUUAACCUUUGGUGUUGGCAGUGUAUUAGAAUUGUACACACAGAGUUGAUGGGAAGGCAUAGCCUUAAUUUGAUAACACUGUGCUAUAGAGAGAUUUGGAAGGAACUCUUAAUAUUAAUGGAUUUGGGGAUUAUUUAGGUUCCUUGGUUAAUGUUUGUUUCUUUUGUCUGUUUCUUUUUUCUUUCAUUUCUACACAUUCAUGCAGUAUUUCAUGGUUCUAUCAAAGCAGCAGUAAAAAAAAAACUCUUGACGCAUGAAAAUUAACUGUUCUUUUCCCUGGUUCAGCCUGAACUAUAUACCAGGCCCUGCUGAAAAUACCACCCAACAGUUUUCUUCUGCAGCUUAUCCAGUUUCUCUUAAGUGCCCUGUACAUAUUGUAUGUUUUAUGAUGAGAUGCAGUUUCUUAAUAUGUAUUACAGAAAUACUACUGGUAUUUGCAAAUAUGUAGUUAAAUUGUAUUAUUGAACUCUCAUUUUGGGGGCUUGGGCACAUUAACAGAUUAAUCCAUCUAUCUGUAUAGGGCUUUUGCUGUUGGAUAGGAUUAAAAUUGUCUACAUGA